rnacentral:rRNA from 1 species
GAUGGAUAACAGGUUGAUAUUCCUGUACCACCUAUAAUCGUUUUAAUCGAUGGGGGGACGCAGUAGGAUAGGCGAAGCGUGCGAUUGGAUUGCACGUCUAAGCAGUAAGGCUGAGUAUUAGGCAAAUCCGGUACUCGUUAAGGCUGAGCUGUGAUGGGGAGAAGACAUUGUGUCUUCGAGUCGUUGAUUUCACACUGCCGAGAAAAGCCUCUAGAUAGAAAAUAGGUGCCCGUACCGCAAACCGACACAGGUAGUCAAGAUGAGAAUUCUAAGGUGAGCGAGCGAACUCUCGUUAAGGAACUCGGCAAAAUGACCCCGUAACUUCGGGAGAAGGGGUGCUCUUUAGGGUUAACGCCCAGAAGAGCCGCAGUGAAUAGGCCCAAGCGACUGUUUAUCAAAAACACAGGUCUCUGCUAAACCGUAAGGUGAUGUAUAGGGGCUGACGCCUGCCCGGUGCUGGAAGGUUAAGAGGAGUGGUUAGCUUCUGCGAAGCUACGAAUCGAAGCCCCAGUAAACGGCGGCCGUAACUAUAACGGUCCUAAGGUAGCGAAAUUCCUUGUCGGGUAAGUUCCGACCCGCACGAAAGGCGUAACGAUUUGGGCACUGUCUCAACGAGAGACUCGGUGAAAUCAUAGUACCUGUGAAGAUGCAGGUUACCCGCGACAGGACGGAAAGACCCCGUGGAGCUUUACUGUAGCCUGAUAUUGAAAUUCGGCACAGCUUGUACAGGAUAGGUAGGAGCCUUUGAAACGUGAGCGCUAGCUUACGUGGAGGCGCUGGUGGGAUACUACCCUAGCUGUGUUGGCUUUCUAACCCGCACCACUUAUCGUGGUGGGAGACAGUGUCAGGCGGGCAGUUUGACUG